CUAUAGCUCAGCUGGUAGAGCAACGGAUUUGUAAUCCGUAGGUCCGCGGUUCGAGUCCGUGUG
rnacentral:ncRNA from 13 species